rnacentral:rRNA from 1 species
GGGCCCGCACAAGCGGUGGAGCAUGUGGUUUAAUUCGAUGAUACGCGAGGAACCUUACCAGGGCUUAAAUGUAAGUUGCAUUAGUUAGAGAUAGCUAUUUCUUCGGACUACUUACAAGGUGCUGCAUGGUUGUCGUCAGCUCGUGCCGUGAGGUGUCAGGUUAAGUCCUAUAACGAGCGCAACCCCUGUUGUUAGUUGCCAUCGAGUAAUGUCGGGAACUCUAACAAGACUGCCGGUGCAAACCGUGAGGAAGGUGGGGAUGACGUCAAAUCAUCACGGCCCUUACGUCCUGGGCUACACACGUGCUACAAUGGCCGGUACAGAGAGCAGCCACUACGCGAGUAGGCGCGAAUCUUCAAAGCCGGUCUCAGUUCGGAUUGUAGGCUGCAACUCGCCUACAUGAAGGUGGAAUC